rnacentral:rRNA from 1 species
AAGACCUUGCGCUUUUGGAGCGGCCGAUGCCUGAUUAGCUAGUUGGUGGGGUAAUGGCCUACCAAAGCUUCGAUCAGUAGCUGGUCUGAGAGGACGGCCAGCCACACUGGGACUGAGACACGGCCCAGACUCCUACGGGAGGCAGCAGUGGGGAAUUUUGGACAAUGGGCGCAAGCCUGAUCCAGCCAUGCCGCGUGAGUGAAGAAGGCCUUCGGGUUGUAAAGCUCUUUCAGCCGGGAAGAAAAGGUUGCGAUUAAUAAUCGCAAUUUAUGACGGUACCGGAAGAAGAAGCACCGGCUAACUACGUGCCAGCAGCCGCGGUAAUACGUAGGGUGCGAGCGUUAAUCGGAAUUACUGGGCGUAAAGGGUGCGCAGGCGGUUUUGUAAGUCAGAUGUGAAAUCCCCGGGCUUAACCUGGAAACU